UUUAUUGGAGAGUUUGAUCCUGGCUCAGGACGAACGCUGGCGGCGUGCUUAACACAUGCAAGUCGAACGGGGCGAAGUGAUAGCUUGCUAUUAUGGAGCCUAGUGGCAAACGGGUGAGUAACGCGUAGGCAACCUGCCCUUCAGAUGGGGACAACACCUCGAAAGGGGUGCUAAUACCGAAUGACGUUUCCUGGUCGCAUGACCUGGAAACCAAAGGCCGGGCAACC
rnacentral:rRNA from 1 species